UAGGGAAUCUUCCACAAUGGACGAAAGUCUGAUGGAGCAACGCCGCGUGAGUGAAGAAGGGUUUCGGCUCGUAAAACUCUGUUGUUAAGGAAGAACAUAUCUGAGAGUAACUGUUCAGGUAUUGACGGUAUUUAACCAGAAAGCCACGGCUAACUACGUGCCAG
rnacentral:rRNA from 1 species